CAGCGGCAGCUUUAACAUGCAGUCGAACGGCAACAGGGAGCUUGCUCCGCUGACGAGUGGCGAACGGGUGAGUAAUGCGUCGGAACGUGCCGAGUAGUGGGGGAUAACUAUCCGAAAGGAUAGCUAAUACCGCGUACGCUUUGAGAAGGAAAGCAGGGGAUCGUAAGACCUUGCGCUAUUCGAGCGGCCGACGUCUGAUUAGCUAGUUGGUGAGGUAAAGGCUCACCAAGGCAUCGAUCAGUAGCGGGUCUGAGAGGAUGAUCCGCCACACUGGGACUGAGACACGGCCCAGACUCCUACGGGAGGCAGCAGUGGGGAAUUUUGGACAAUGGGCGCAAGCCUGAUCCAGCCAUGCCGCGUGUCUGAAGAAGGCCUUCGGGUUGUAAAGGACUUUUGUCAGGGAGGAAAUCCCUAGCGCUAAUAUCGCUGGGGGAUGACAGUACCUGAAGAAUAAGCACCGGCUAACUACGUGCCAGCAGCCGCGGUAAUACGUAGGGUGCAAGCGUUAAUCGGAAUUACUGGGCGUAAAGCGUGCGCAGGCGGUUGUGUAAGUCUGAUGUGAAAGCCCCGGGCUCAACCUGGGAACUGCAUUGGAGACUGCACAGCUAGAGUGCGUCAGAGGGGGGGUAGAAUUCCGCGUGUAGCAGUGAGAUGCGUAGAGAUGCGGAGGAAUACCGAUGGCGAAGGCAGCCCCCCUGGGGAUGACCCCUGACCGCUUCAUUGCACACGAAAAGCCGUGUGGGGGGGGCACAAACACAAGGAAUAUAAGAUAUCCCCUUUGUGAUAUGCCACAGCGCCUUAAAAACAAGUAUCACACUC
rnacentral:rRNA from 1 species